GAAGUCUAACAUGUGCGCGAGUCAUUGGGCGAUAAAACCUAAAGGCGGAAUGAAAGUGAAGGAAGCUUUGCUUUCCGAGGGAGGAUGGGGAUGUCGGCCUAAAAGGCGCUCCCCCGCACUCCCGGGGCGUCUCGUUCUCACUGCGAGAAGAGGCGCACCCAGAGCGUACACGUUAGGACCCGAAAGAUGGUGAACUAUGCCUGGUCAGGACGAAGCCAGGGGAAACCCUGGUGGAGGUCCGUAGCGAUUCUGACGUGCAAAUCGAUCGUCAGAGCUGGGUAUAGGGGCGAAAGACUAAUCGAACCAUCUAGUAGCUGGUUCCUUCCGAAGUUUCCCUCAGGAUAGCUGGUGCCCGUGUGAGACGAGUCUCAUCCGGUAAAGCGAAUGAUUAGAGGCCUUGGGGCCGAAACGACCUCAACCUAUUCUCAAACUUUAAAUAGAUGAGAACUCCGGCUUGCUUGAAAGUGAAGCCGGAGAUUCGGAUCUGGGUGCCCAGUGGGCCAAUUUUG
rnacentral:rRNA from 1 species